GACGAACGCUGGCGGCGUGCUUAACACAUGCAAGUCGAACGGAAAGGCCCUGCUUUUGUGGGGUGCUCGAGUGGCGAACGGGUGAGUAACACGUGAGUAACCUGCCCUUGACUUUGGGAUAACUUCAGGAAACUGGGGCUAAUACCGGCUAGGAGCUCCUGCUACAUGGUGGGGGUUGGAAAGUUUCGGCGGUUGGGGAUGGACUCGCGGCUUAUCAGCUUGUUGGUGGGGUAGUGGCUUACCAAGGCUUUGACGGGUAGCCGGCCUGAGAGGGUGACCGGCCACAUUGGGACUGAGAUACGGCCCAGACUGCUACGGGAGGCAGCAGUGGGGAAUAUUGCACAAUGGGCGGAAGCCUGAUGCAGCAACGCCGCGUGCGGGAUGACGGCCUUCGGGUUGUAAACCGCUUUCGCCUGUGACGAAGCGUGAGUGACGGUAAUGGGUAAAGAAGCACCGGCUAACUACGUG
rnacentral:rRNA from 1 species